GGACUGGCUGCAUUGUCUUCCUUUCCUCCCUUACCACUCCAUAUCCAUCCCUCCUGAAGCUACACACUCGGUCGAAGAGGACGACCUUCCCCGAAUAGAGGAGGACCGGUCUUCCGUCAAGGGUAUAUGAGGAGCUGUGCUCCCCUGCCAGAACCUCCAAACAAGCUCAAGGGCUACUGAUUUUUUAAAAUUAAUUUUAUAUCCAGCCGCUUUGCUGAAGGAGUUUAUCAGCUGCAGGUGUUCU
rnacentral:sRNA from 1 species